UUUUUUAAAAACAAGUGAAACUGGUUGUUUGAGUUAACCGGUUAAAAUAAGGGAAAAAAAAAAAAUCACCCCUUCAAAACCUAGGACGCCUCGCAUGCACUGGGGCUGCUUCAUCUCUUCUCUGCGAUCUCUCUCUUCGGAAAUCCAAGCUUCAUCUAUGUCCCCAGAUUGGAAUCUGGGCGUCUCAUCUCUGCCCAGGCCGAGAUGCAACAGCCAGAGGAGAGGAGAUAGAGAGACAGCGGUGCUUCGAAGGCAAAAAGGUGUCAGUUCAGAAGACUAGGCCGAAGCUGACCUCGCCCACGUCCUCCGCCACUUCACUCGCGCUUUCAAGUACCGUGGCCUCGGAAACGAGUUUUUGGAGGUUAGAGAUUUGGGGAACUUAAUUGGGUUGUACACCGAAUGGCACUCACGUUUGCUCCCAUAUUAUUCUUUUGAUCAGUUUGUUCAUGAGAUGAGGUCGAACAGGUUGCCGCCACUAGACAAGUAAAAAAAAUUGAGAGAAAGAGUUGCGAGUGGAGGAGACCCGACAAAGUUGCAUGAACCAGCAGUCGAACAAGGCUCUCCAAGUGAUCAACAGGGAGGAACCCUCUGAGACUUUGCAUGGUGAUAUGGUUGCUCCUAGUAUAUCUGCAGCAGGUAGUUUUCAGAAAGAAUUAACCAAUCAAGUUCCAAAUAAUGAAGAAAUCAUGACAGAUGAACAGAGAGCAUGAAUGAAAGCUAGCAGAUUUAAGGUCCUUGAGAAAGAUGCAGCUAGGCGCCGCCAAUUGCAGUUAUGGAAGUUGAAAAAAGGGGUGAAGCGAAAGGAAAGAGCAAAGCCGAGAGUAAUGUACAAUAAUCAAGAGUUGGCGGGGAUGCAUUUUUUAAUUUCAUGAAAAAAGAACGACUUGAAAUGGGGAAAGUGGCCAAUGCAAAGUUGGACAGUAAGUCUCGACGGCUCAAACAAGUGGCAGAGGACGGGUCGGACUCGCUUGAAUCGUCUCAGAGCUGCGUCGGCCUUUCGGACUUGCAAUCGUUGUGUUGUCAUGGGAAGAUGCGUUAGAGUUGUUGGGUGGUGCUGCGUUCACGGCAGCAGCGGUGGCGGCACUAAUAUUCGGCGUUCAUACAGAACGUCAUCUACUCAACAAGAUUGCCAUCUUCUCCAAUUUCUAUUGCCCGUAUGUUAUUAUCUCUCUAUUGCUUGUUCAUUUUGGCUUUUGUGAUAAAUUUAAGGUAUUGGGAUUGGAAAUUCAUAAAGUAAUCAAAUUGGAAUUUGAGAAUU